rnacentral:rRNA from 1 species
AUGGAGGGUUUGAUCCUGGCUCAGGGUGAACGCUGGCGGCACGCCUAACACAUGCAAGUCGAACGAAGAAAUCCACUUCGGUGGAGAGUAUUAGUGGCGAACGGGUGAGUAACGCGUAGGAAUCAACCCUUUGGACUGGGAUAGCUAUGGGAAACUGUAGGUAAAACCGGAUAAGCUCGAGAGAGGAAAGGAAGAGAAGCGCCAAAGGACGAGCCUGCGUCCCAUCAGGUAGUUGGUGAAGUAAAAGAUCACCAAGCCGACGACGGGUAGCCGGUGUGAGAGCACGAACGGCCACAAGGGAACUGAGAGACGGACCCUACUCCUACGGGAGGCAGCAGUGGGGAAUUUUGGACAAUGGACGGAAGUCUGAUCCAGCGAUGCCGCGUGAAGGAAGAAGUCCUUCGGGAUGUAAACUUCUGAAUUUACAGAAUAUAAAGUACUGGGGACAGUACAAGGAAGGUAUGUAAAGAAAAGCCCCGGCUAACUACGUGCCAGCAGCCGCGGUAAGACGUAGGGGGCGAGCGUUGCCCGGAAUCACUGGGCGUAAAGGGAACGUAGGCGGUUAUGUAAGUCAGGUGUGAAAUGUCACUGCUCAACGGUGGAACAGCGCUUGAAACUGUAUAACUUGAGGAUACUAGAGGAAGACGGAAUUACCAGAGUAGGGGUGAAAUCCGUAGAUAUUGGUAAGAAGGCCAGUGGAGAAGUCGGUUUUCUGGAGUAAUCCUGACGCUGAGGUUCGAAAGCUAGGGGAGCGAACCGGAUUAGAUACCCGGGUAGUCCUAGCCGUAAACGAUGUUCACUAGGUGUGGGAUGUCAAAGUUCCGUGCUGAAGCAAACGCGAUAAGUGAACCGCCUGGGGAGUACGUCCGCAAGGAUGAAACUCAAAGGAAUUGACGGGGACCCGCACAAGCGGUGGAGCAUGUGGUUUAAUUCGAAGCUAACCGAAGAACCUUACCAGGAAUUGACAUGGAGAUAAGGUAGUAGAGAUACUACUAACUUUCGCAAGAAAGGAGUCUCACACAGGUGGUGCACGGCCGUCGUCAGCUCGUGCCGUGAGGUGUUGGGUUAAGUCCCGCAACGAGCGCAACCCCUGCCAUUAGUUGCCAGCAUGUGAAGAUGGGCUACUCUAAUGGGACAGCCGUCGACGAGACGGAGGAAGGAGGGGAUGACGUCAGGUAAGCGUGCCCCUUAUGUUCUGGGCGACACACGUGCUACAAUGGUACGGACAGAGGGAAGCGAAGCUGAGAAGUGGAGCAAAUCUCACAAACUGUACCUCAAUUCGGAUUGCAGGCUGAAACCCGCCUGCAUGAAACCGGAAUCGCUAGUAAUCGCAGGUCAGCCAAACUGCGGUGAAUACGUUCUCGGGUCUUGUACACACCGCCCGUCACGCCACCCGAGUUGGAAACGCCCGAAGAUGGAUGCUGUAACCGCAAGGAACGGAUGCAUCGAGGGUGGAGCUAGUGAGGGGGGCGAAGUCGUAACAAGGUAGGUGUACCGGAAGGUGCGCCUGGAUCACCUCCUUU